AUGCAGUUUGGCAGGUCCUCGGGCUCCGCCGAGCCCUUUGCCAGCGUCGAUGGGCCCCUGUUCCAGGGCGGCACCCUGAGGCCCGCCUACUCGGCCCCGUCAUCCUCGCUGCUCCGUGCUGACGAGGCGCACCCGCCCGUCGUCCACGUCCAGACGCCACUGAGAUUCUCCAAGCUGGAGUUCGCGACCUAUGACGGCACCGUCGACCCCUUGAAUUGGCUCAACCAAUGCGACCAAUUUUUCAGGGGACAACGCACGCUCGCGUCCGACCGCACCUGGAUCGCCUCGUAUCAUCUCCGAGGAGCCACGCGGACGUGGUACUACGCCCUCAAACAGGACGAGGGCGGCAUGCCACCAUGGGAGCGCUUCCGCGAUUUGUGCCUCUUGCGCUUCGGUCCGCCUAUACACGGGAGCCGUCUGGCGGAGCUUGGGCGUCUUCCGUUCCUCACCUCGGUGCAAGACUUCGCCAACCGCUUCCAGGCACUAGCGUGCCACGCCCCUGGCGUUUCGGCUCGUAGCGGGCUGAGCUCUUCGUCGGCGACCUACCAGACCACAUCCGCGUGGACGUGGAGAUGCGCGGGCCAUAGGACCUCCAAACGGCCAUGUACUACGCCCGCGCGUUCGAGCGUCGCGCGGUGCCCAUCCAGCAGGCGCCACCACCCCGGGCCGCUGGGCCGCCACCCUGGCCGAAAGUUCCUGCGCAGGGUCAGCCUGCCCAGGCUUCCGCGGCACCCCUCGCCGCGGCUGCGGCACGCUCGUUCCGCCGGCUCACCCCGGCCGAGCAACUCGAGCGUCGCCGCCAAGGGUUGUGCUUCAACUGCGACGAGCCCUACGUACCGGGCCACGUCUGCCCACGACUCUUCUACCGGACGCAGAGGUGUUUGGCAACCGUUGAUCUUUCCCGCCUUCCAGCUCAAGGACGAGCUGUUUGUGCAGGCGGGGAGAGAUGUUAUGACCGGCAUAUUAGGGGCUUAG
rnacentral:rRNA from 1 species